UUACACUUGAGGCUUAUAAGGCUGAAGUUGGCAAGCCUUAUCAAAGAAUCACUGUUUUCAUCUGCUUGAAGAGUGACUUUGAAGAUGUUGGAGAAAACUCAGACUUGUCUGACUCUGACCCAGAGAUUGUUAUUAAAAGGCCCUCUGAGUUUGAUCUUGCUGAUACACUGCCAUGGGAACUUCAACAUGAAAACAGUCCUUUACAGAAAGCGGCAGAAUAUGAGUAAGUGAUAUUUGAAGAACAUGUAAUCUUUUACUGUUUUUUGCCUACACUUUGUAUUAAUGAGAUAUACACUUUUGUCAUUCAUUCUGUAUAUGGUUUUUGGAACAUGGACUACUUAAUACUUGUAUUGCUUGUUUGUUAAUCAAGAUGCUUAAAUAUUCUCAAAGUGUCAAUUAAUAUUUUCACAGUACACAACAAAAAUGCUUUUCUUUGUUCUCUAAGGAA